UCAGCCUGUGCCGGCUGGCUUCACAGGGACCUUGCAGGGUCAGGUCUCUCCUCUUGGGUUUUCAGGGCUUUCAUCCUAAAACGAAGGCAAAGCCAGGGAUCCCUGCCCUCUGUCCAGAAAGUAGAGCAGGCUCCUGUAGCUUUGGAUUCUUAAGAGUGUGUGGCUUCCCUCCCCUCUCUUCUGGCUCCCCUCUGCCUGGGCUCUGGGGGACCCUCUAGACCACUUCAGUGCAGCACUCAGGAAUGUAGAUGAAGCAGGAGUGGAUGCCCUGGGACUUGCUGCUCUCAUUCCCUCAGGCCCAGGCUAUUUCCGCUUGGCCCUGGGCAUGUGGUCAUGUGCUUUUACUCAUGAGCGGUUUGUGAUGAAAACCCUGUGCCCCUCUCGGCUGCCUUUCCCCAGGAAGCAGCCUCAGCUAGCAGGGAGGGGGGGUCAGAGACCCAGAACUUACUGCCCAGCUCAGCAGGGGUUGCUUGGGAAUGGUGGCUUCAGGUUCCCUGGCCUGCUGGUCAGGGAUGGGAGGCUCAGAGGCUCAGGUUUCCCGCCACCAUCCCCUGCUUCCUUUGGUGUUGGGGAGUGACAGCCUUUGGCCAUGAUGUCAUUGCCUAAUCCAAACAGAAGGGAGGCUGGGCUCCGUGGCAGGCUGCGGGCCAAUGCUGAGUGCUGCAGUAAAUCGCAGGGGCCAGGCGGUGAUUAGGUCUGUGGAGAGAACCCACCCCUCCCUUCUCCCUGGUCCUCUUUUUCCUCUCCGGCUCCUGACUGGCCUUCCCUCCCUCCCUCCUCUCUUCUUGCUUCUCUAGAGAUACUUUAGCUUCUCCAUGACAUCACUGCUCAGCCAGGAGUGCACAGGGCUAUCACCUCUAGAUUCAAAGUCUGUCCUGUUCCCUCUGGAGGAGCAGGCUCCUAGUAAAGAGAUGGGGAAGGGAAGAGGGAGCGGGGCUUCUUGGAAAAGGAGGCAUGGCACCCUUAUGCUAUUUCUCUGCUGUCUGAAGUCUGGCUCCUGGCUCCUUGGUUUUGCCUUGGCCUGCUCAACUCUUCCUGAGCUAUGAAGGGCUGUUCAGCAUCAAAGGCACAAGGGACCAAGUUCAGGACAGUGGUUGUCCAUGGGUGCCUGGAACUUCCUGGAGAGAAAUGGGCCCAGUGACUGUCCUGAAUGACCCUGCCAUAUGGUUCUGUUCUGGUGAAAUAUGGCCUGGGAACAAAGCUAGUGUUCCCAGUGGUUGCUAGUCACCUGUCUCCUCGAUUCCCUUCUCUGCUGGCUACGGAGCUAACGUCACCGAGGAUGCUCACUGGGCCUGUUUUCCACCUGAGUGCAGUGGAGGAUCUGGUAGGGGCAGCUGACUGUCACAUACCUGGCUGCAUGGCUGCGGCCACAUCUUUGCCAGGUGUACAGAGUCCUGGGGUCUGGGGGAUACAUCUGUAUGAGUGGAGUGGAAGAGGACUCCAGAGAGAUAGCCAUCCCCCUGCCCCCGCCUCAGGAAGCUCCAGGGUGGAAAGGAAGACAGUCAGCCAUGACAGCCUGUCUAGGAGACCCUAGCCCGCUUGGACUCUCCCAGAACGGAAGAAGCUCUCAAAGUCGGGCCCCAGAGGACAUGCCAUAUUUUCUAACCUGAUAGCCCUGUGCCUGAAGCUUGAGAGAGGUCUGUUCCCUGAAGGUGUUACACAGCCCCACUCCCCAAGGCUUCUGAUCUCCCCAGCCCUGGUGGAGAGGGGAAUCCAAGUCUAGCCAGCAGCCGCCCCAGGCUGGAGUGUCACCUAGAAGGCGUGUAACAGCCUGGGCUGUUGCUUUCAUAGUGGCUUCCAGAGAAAAUACCACUUUCAGGUUCUCCGUGAGCUGAGAGGGAAAACAGCACCCUGUGGGAGGGGAAGGGAGGCUUGGCUUUUCCCAAGGGCCCAGAGACUCCAGGAUACAACUGUAACCCUUGGCCUGCUUGGCAGAGGACAAACACAAGAGCUCUCUGUGUGUGAGACAAGCUCAGCUUCCACGGCCGAGUGGACGCACCAAGCCUCCCGCUCUCCUCACGGCUGUAAGGUGUCAGUCUACUGCCCUGAGGAGCCUUGAUGUAGCAGCCACCGCUGUGAGCGCAGUUCUGGGAUGUAGGAGCACGGAUGGGGACCUCAUCACUACCUAGAGCUACAGAGAAACUCUGUUUCAAAAAACCAAAAUAAUAAUAAUAAUAAUAAUAAUAAUAAUAAUAAUAAUAAUAAGGAAAAGGAAUGUGGACUGGGGUUUUGAAAGUUGAGUUGUUAGAAAGUCAGAGACAGGAAGCUGUCCCUGGAAGAAUGGCAGACAGCUCGCCUAAAGCAGGGAGGAGGGGAGCAUCCAUGCAAGGGCAGGCUGAUGGGUGUGGUGGAUGGGCAUGGUGGAGGGGCCUGAUGAACCGAGAGGUUGAUGGGCAUGGAUAGGGAGACUGAUGGGCAGAGCCCUCUGUGGGAGCCCAUGUGGGGCUCAGUUUCCAUCUGGAGUCCAUUCUGACUUAAAAGUCAUUUGAGGUCAAGCUUGCCUGCCCUGCUUCUUCCAAUAACCUUGAGGGCUGUGAGAGACUUCUUCUGAGUUAGCCCAUGGGAAAGAGCAUUGUGCCCGUGAAAAAGAACAUCUUAUCUCGUAGAAAGAAUACUGCUGACGCCAAACCUCAGGAACAUCAAGAUAGAAAGUGAGGCUGCUCCCGAGCAGCACGCGUGAGUUGGAGAGGAGGCUGCUCACUCAAGGACAGGAAUGUCCUGUGGUUAGAUACUGACUGACCGGCUGUGCUUUGUUCCUCUGCCUUUGCAUAUAAGCAAAUUCUGAAGUAAACUCCGGGCUGUUUGGCUGUUUCGGCAUGACCAAACAGACCUCCCGAUUCCA